rnacentral:rRNA from 1 species
UACGUAGGGUGCGAGCGUUACUCGGAAUUACUGGGCGUAAAGCGUGCGUAGGCGGUUCGUUAAGUUCGUUGUGAAAGCCCCGGGCUCAACCUGGGAACUGCAAUGGAAACUGGCGGGCUUGAGUGUGGCAGAGGGGGGUGGAAUUCCGCGUGUAGCAGUGAAAUGCGUAGAGAUGCGGAGGAACACCGAUGGCGAAGGCAGCCCCCUGGGCCAACACUGACGCUCAGGCACGAAAGCGUGGGGAGCAAACAGG